rnacentral:rRNA from 1 species
UAUGUGAUCGUCUCUCGCAUAUCAAUAAGCGGAGGAAAAGAAACUAACAAGGAUUCCCCUAGUAACGGCGAGUGAAGCGGGAAGAGCUCAAAUUUGAAAUCUUAAAGGGUUUCCCUUUACGAAUUGUAGUUUAAAGAAGUGUUUUCUGUUGAGGUUUUGGUAAAAGUUCUUUGGAAUAGGACAUCAUAGAGGGUGAGAAUCCCGUAUUUGACCUUUACUUUCAACUCUGUGAUACACUUUCAAAGAGUCGGAUUGUUUGGGAAUGCAGUCCAAAAUGGGUGGUAAAUUUCAUCUAAAGCUAAAUAUUGGCGAGAGACCGAUAGCGAACAAGUACCGUGAGGGAAAGAUGAAAAGAACUUUGAAAAGAGAGUUAAACAGUACGUGAAAUUGUCAAAAGGGAAGCGUUUGACACCAGUGUUGUUUUUCUGAAAAUCAAUUAAAGGAACUGUUUAUGCUAAGUUGUUUAGACUUUAUCAGCUAUCUGCUUAGUUUUGAGCUUUUCUUUAAUGCACUUUUCAGUUAACAAGUCAACAUCAAUUUCUUUUGCUGUAAAAAAGCUUGAGGAAGGUGGCUUGAGAUUCGUCUUAAGUGUUUAUAGCCUCUUGCCUAUGCAGUCGGAGAGAUUGAGGUCUGCAGCGUAGAUCCUUCGGGGCUAAAUGCAUUUGUGCUAAGUUAUAGCAUUUUAUAGACAACUUGUUGACUAUGAUUUGUCUUGUAGCUUACUCGCUUAUGUUAUUUUACCUACGCUUAGGAUGUUGAUAUCGCGCUCUCACUG